CAGAUUUCUAAGCUGUUUUUGAGGCAGAUUUUAUCUUUUUGAAGAUGAAGUUGAAAUAAGGAAAAUAGAAAGGCAGAGAUUUUGAAUUGGCAUCAUCAGUGAGGCCUUCGCCUGAGAGCGAAAUGACUUCUUGAGGUUGGAACUUAAGCCUCAUCUACUGGGGAGGAUUCUUCUUGCUGACACAGACAUGUCACCUCCUGUCUGCAUGAGGUUCUCAGCUGCUCAGUUGUAUGCCCAGCUUCCCUGGAAAAGUCUGACCAACAAAGUGGUCAUAGGCCCAGCUGAACACUGGUCAACAAAAAUGUCCUGCCCAUGUCUGGUGCUAGGCCAAUGGAAGGAAACCUCCAAAGAGUCAGCCCUACAGGUAGGUGGAGGAUGUGUGUGAAGGCCACAGCUAAGAAAAACCCUGUUAUGUGGAAUACAGCCAGCCCUGCUGUUGUCCCCUCCUGAAACCACCAGACAUGGGCAGUGGGCAAGGAAGGAGGAAAAAUCCAGAAGUGUUUGCCUGUUCUACCUAUUGAAGAAGAUGGGCCAGAAACUUCCGUGACUUCCUUGGUGACAGUCACUGUGAGUGCACCAGUCUGGAGUUUCCAUCAUUUACCUGUCCCAUCUGUGGUUAAGAGAGUGAGCUCUCAAUUCUGACUGCCUGAGUUCAAGUCCUAACUCUAUGAUGUGCCAGCAGUGGGACAUUGAGGUACGUUACCUUUAGUUUACUCAUCUGCAAAAUGGGUCUAAUAAGGGUACCUGACUCAUAGAGUUUAUUUUAACAGUAAGUGCAGCGACAAUCCUUUUGUGCUUAUGCCUGAAUAUACCCUGAGUAGAUUUUCCUGGUGUUAUGCUAUUAUCUUUUUAAAGGGUACCAAACUAAUAAUUUUUAGUGAAAAAAAAAAAAAAAAAAAAAAGGUUGGUAGCUUGUGGUAAGCCUUUUGGUAGAAUAAAAUGCUGAUCGUUUUUCUAACAUGGCGGCCUUGUACAUUGCUCAGAGACACCUUUCAACUACUGGUGCAUCAGUGCUGGCUCAACAGCCUGCAUAGACACAGAGUUGGGGUGAAAUGGUAGUGCCAUUGAUAUUACUAUUACUCUUCCGAUGUUGAAAUCUUAUGGUGAAAAGCAGAAUGCUUGCCUCUGUACCAGAGAUGGUGGUACUAAAACAAUCCUUGUAGAUUCAUCAGCAUUUACCUAAGUAUGUUCCACUAAAGCAGGGCUGAGGACUGCCUCAAACUUUUGAAAAUCAAAAGAAUUCUAUGAACAAAUAAAUUUUAGAAAUGCUGUAUUAAGCUCAUAUAAAUGGUAUCUUUACCUUUAGUAUUCUGAUGUAUAUGGUAAGUAUCUAAGAAGGGACUUUCAUAUUUUCCAUGAAGUACAUUUUUCUGGGAAUAUAUCACAGAACCAAUGUUUCAAGAAACACAUUUUGGGAGAUACCACUCUACUAAAUAUUUAAGCGCUGGAUCAAAGUAGAUGUUGCUUUGUGAAGCUUUAUUUCUUUGGGAGGGGCAAGCUUUAACCAGAGGCAUCAUGAACAAAAGACAUGUCUGUAUAAAGCCCAAAUCCAGGUAAUAAAUCUUAAAGACUCAGUAGAAAGAUGCUUAGCAACCUCUUUAGUGAUGUGGCAAGCAGGCCUCAAAGUUGGCAGGUGACAUGGAAUAGAGAUGAAUAUCCAC
ensembl:lncRNA